rnacentral:misc_RNA from 1 species
GGCCAAGCAUCCUGAGGGUCAAGCUUGGUUAGUUUGAUAACCUUCCUUAAUGGACUUCCCAAGGGUGACAAGAAGUUAUUGGGAGUUGUAUUCUGAGAAGACCCAUAAGUGCUAUGUUUUGGAUCAUUUGCAAGCUCUAUUGAGAGCACUAGUGACUUUUCUGACAAAGAUUGUGAUGAAUUGUAUUGGGUUUGCAAUUACAAAGGGGGAGCUGACACAGGCG